CUAAUCAACAAUUUCCUUCUAAUCAGCGAACAAUCAAAGAUCACAACUCUUCCGUUCUAAUCAACACUUUCCUUCUAAUCAGCGAACACCAAUCAACCAAGGAAAUGACCAAAUAUCAACACUUUCCUUCUAAUCAAAACUCUCCGUAUACAACUUUUCAUAUGCGCCAGUCUCACCCAGACACCCACCAGCAUUCUGAGGAGUUUUCUUUUCGGUCGCCGCGAUUUUAUGGCCGCGGCAUUUGGGUGUCUCGCUGAUUUGGUGUGUGGAUUUGUUGGUGGUGUGCCAGGACGGCUGGGGAUUUGGAUGCCGGCGAUGUUGUUCACGGAGGGCCUGGACUGGGACGCGCUCAAGUUGGUGCGGAAGGUGAGCGGGCAGCGGCGGCCUCAUGACACCGCCGGAGAAGUUCAGGAGCGGCCACGUGCCGCGCGCGUCGGUGCCGCUGCGCGCCGCAUACGGGAGCGCCUCCACAGCCUCCGACGUGGACAAGUCCUCAAACACCGAGGAGGUGCCCCGUGCCGGUACGGCAACAUGCCCGCCGCCGCCACGGAUCCCCACGGGCGACGCAGACGCUGCCAACCAGUGCAGAGCGUGGUCACGUUCCCUGCGCGGCUAUACGGACGAUCGCUUCGCUUGAGGUCGCCUUUCAUGGCUGCCACCGGCGUCGGCGGGAACGACUCUCCGAUGGCACCUGAGGACUCCACAGUGUAUCGUCUAGGCUAGGAAAGGUCAAGAGGAUAACCAAGGAGACAAAUGUACAUGUCAAGAUCAACCUGGACGGCACUGGUGUUGCAAACUGCAGCACAGGGAUACCAUUCUUGGAUCACAUGUUUGAUUGUAACCGAGGUCUAUGGACCUGUCAAAGGGUCAUGUUGCAUAUGGUUAUGGUUGCAUUGCGUGGAAGGAGCGAACGAGGAGCUGAAAGCAGAAUCAUAGGAGAUGCUGCACAAUAUGAGAAUGACGGUAAAGGCUUGAACUGUGAUGAAGGUGAUGCCCGAUUUGACCAUUAGUAUAUUCUCAUCAAGGCAACUUGUAAUUUCCGCUAUGACAUGGAUUUUCUAUUGUGAGGGGCGUCUCUCAUGAAGAAUGUGAUUUUUGCAUGAUACAAUAUGUUGUUAGAAGGCGAAUAUUCUAUGCAAGGACUGACAGUUAAGGAGGAUGUAGUAACAGGUAAACCUUGAUAGAAUAUUUUAACUUUU